UACGUAGGUCACAAGCGUUAUCCGGAUUUAUUGGGCGUAAAGCGUCUGUAGGUGGUUUAAUAAGUCUAGGGUUAAAGACUGGAGCUCAACUCCAGUUCGCCUUAGAAACUAUUAGACUAGAGUUCUUGAGAGAUAAGUGGAAUUUGAUGUGUAGCGGUGGAAUGCAUAGAUAUAUCAAGGAACACCAGUGGCGAAGGCGGCUUAUUGGCAAGUAACUGACACUCAGAGACGAAAGCGUGGGGAGCAAAUAGG
rnacentral:rRNA from 1 species